CCUACGGGAGGCAGCAGUGGGGAAUAUUGCACAAUGGGGGAAACCCUGAUGCAGCGACGCCGCGUGAGUGAAGAAGUAUCUCGGUAUGUAAAGCUCUAUCAGCAGGGAAGAAAAUGACGGUACCUGACUAAGAAGCCCCGGCUAACUACGUGCCAGCAGCCGCGGUAAUACGUAGGGGGCAAGCGUUAUCCGGAUUUACUGGGUGUAAAGGGAGCGUAGACGGCGCUGCAAGUCCGGAGUGAAAGCCCAUGGCUGAACCAUGGUACUGCUCUGGAAACUGUGGAGCUUGAGUGCGGGAGGGGCAGGCGGAAUUCCUAGUGUAGCGGUGAAAUGCGUAGAUAUUAGGAGGAACACCGGCGGCGAAGGCAGCCUGCCGCAGCGUUACUGACGCUGAAGCUCGAAAGCGCGGGUAUCGAACAGGAUUAGAUACCCUUGUAGUC
rnacentral:rRNA from 1 species